rnacentral:rRNA from 1 species
AACGAACGCUGGCGGCAUGCCUAACACAUGCAAGUCGAACGAGACCUUCGGGUCUAGUGGCGCACGGGUGCGUAACGCGUGGGAACCUGCCCUUAGGUUCGGAAUAACUCCCUGAAAGGGGUGCUAAUACCGGAUAAUGUCUUCGGACCAAAGAUUUAUCGCCUUUGGAUGGGCCCGCGUUGGAUUAGCUAGUUGGUAGGGUAAAAGCCUACCAAGGCGACGAUCCAUAGCUGGUCUGAGAGGAUGAUCAGCCACACUGGGACUGAGACACGGCCCAGACUCCUACGGGAGGCAGCAGUGGGGAAUAUUGGGCAAUGGGCGAAAGCCUGAUCCAGCAAUGCCGCGUGAGUGAUGAAGGCCUUAGGGUUGUAAAGCUCUUUUACCCGGGAUGAUAAUGACAGUACCGGGAGAAUAAGCUCCGGCUAACUCCGUG